CCUACGGGAGGCAGCAGUGAGGAAUAUUGGUCAAUGGACGAGAGUCUGAACCAGCCAAGUAGCGUGAAGGAUGACUGCCCUCUGGGUUGUAAACUUCUUUUAUAUGGGAAUAAAAUGUUCCACGUGUGGGAUUUUGUAUGUACCAUAUGAAUACGGCUCGGCUAACUCCGUGCCAGCAGCCGCGGUAAUACGGAGGAUCCGAGCGUUAUCCGGAUUUAUUGGGUUUAAAGGGAGCGUAGGUGGAUUGUUAAGUCAGUGGUGAAAGUUUGCGGCUCAACCGUAAAAUUGCAGUUGUAACUGGCAGUCUUGAGUACAGGAGAGGUGGGCGGAAUUCGUGGUGUAGCGGUGAAAUGCUUAGAUAUCACGAAGAACUCCGAUUGCGAAGGCAGUUCACUGGACUGCAACUGACACUGAGGCUCGAAAGUGUGGGGAUCAAACAGGAUUAGAUACCCUAGUAGUC
rnacentral:rRNA from 1 species